GACGAACGCUGGCGGCGUGCUUAAUACAUGCAAGUCGAGCGGACGAAUCGAAAGUUUGCUUUUGACUCGUUAGCGGCGGACGGGUGAGUAACACGUGGGCAACCUGCCCUGUAUACGGGGAUAACACCGAGAAAUCGGUGCUAAUACCGGAUAACACGAAAUGUCGCAUUACGUUUCGUAGAAAUACGGCGCAAGCUGUCGCUACAGGAUGGGCUCGCGGCGCAUUAGCUAGUUGGUGAGGCAACGGCUUACCAAGGCGACGAUGCGUAGCCGACCUGAGAGAGUGAUAGGCCACCCUGGGACUGAGACACGGCCCAGACUCCUACGGGAGGCAGCAGUAGGGAAUCUUCCGCAAUGGACGAAAGUCUGACGGAGCAACGCCGCGUGAGCGAAGAAGGCCUUCGGGUCGUAAAGAUCUGUUGUUAGGGAAGAACAAGUAACGCAGUAACUGGCGUUACCGUGACGGUACCUAACGAGAAAGCCACGGCUAACUACGUG
rnacentral:rRNA from 1 species